rnacentral:rRNA from 1 species
GGUUAAGCGACUAAGCGUACACGGUGGAUGCCUUGGCAGUCAGAGGCGAUGAAGGACGUGCUAAUCUGCGAUAAGCGUCGGUAAGGUGAUAUGAACCGUUAUAACCGGCGAUUUCCGAAUGGGGAAACCCAGUGUGUUUCGACACACUAUCAUUAACUGAAUCCAUAGGUUAAUGAGGCGAACCGGGGGAACUGAAACAUCUAAGUACCCCGAGGAAAAGAAAUCAACCGAGAUUCCCCCAGUAGCGGCGAGCGAACGGGGAGGAGCCCAGAGCCUGAAUCAGUGUGUGUGUUAGUGGAAGCGUCUGGAAAGGCGCGCGAUACAGGGUGACAGCCCCGUACACAAAAAUGCACAUGCUGUGAGCUCGAUGAGUAGGGCGGGACACGUGGUAUCCUGUCUGAAUAUGGGGGGACCAUCCUCCAAGGCUAAAUACUCCUGACUGACCGAUAGUGAACCAGUACCGUGAGGGAAAGGCGAAAAGAACCCCGGCGAGGGGAGUGAAAAAGAACCUGAAACCGUGUACGUACAAGCAGUGGGAGCACGCUUAGGCGUGUGACUGCGUACCUUUUGUAUAAUGGGUCAGCGACUUAUAUUCUGUAGCAAGGUUAACCGAAUAGGGGAGCCGAAGGGAAACCGAGUCUUAACUGGGCGUUAAGUUGCAGGGUAUAGACCCGAAACCCGGUGAUCUAGCCAUGGGCAGGUUGAAGGUUGGGUAACACUAACUGGAGGACCGAACCGACUAAUGUUGAAAAAUUAGCGGAUGACUUGUGGCUGGGGGUGAAAGGCCAAUCAAACCGGGAGAUAGCUGGUUCUCCCCGAAAGCUAUUUAGGUAGCGCCUCGUGAAUUCAUCUCCGGGGGUAGAGCACUGUUUCGGCAAGGGGGUCAUCCCGACUUACCAACCCGAUGCAAACUGCGAAUACCGGAGAAUGUUAUCACGGGAGACACACGGCGGGUGCUAACGUCCGUCGUGAAGAGGGAAACAACCCAGACCGCCAGCUAAGGUCCCAAAGUCAUGGUUAAGUGGGAAACGAUGUGGGAAGGCCCAGACAGCCAGGAUGUUGGCUUAGAAGCAGCCAUCAUUUAAAGAAAGCGUAAUAGCUCACUGGUCGAGUCGGCCUGCGCGGAAGAUGUAACGGGGCUAAACCAUGCACCGAAGCUGCGGCAGCGACGCUUAUGCGUUGUUGGGUAGGGGAGCGUUCUGUAAGCCUGUGAAGGUGUGCUGUGAGGCAUGCUGGAGGUAUCAGAAGUGCGAAUGCUGACAUAAGUAACGAUAAAGCGGGUGAAAAGCCCGCUCGCCGGAAGACCAAGGGUUCCUGUCCAACGUUAAUCGGGGCAGGGUGAGUCGACCCCUAAGGCGAGGCCGAAAGGCGUAGUCGAUGGGAAACAGGUUAAUAUUCCUGUACUUGGUGUUACUGCGAAGGGGGGACGGAGAAGGCUAUGUUGGCCGGGCGACGGUUGUCCCGGUUUAAGCGUGUAGGCUGGUUUUCCAGGCAAAUCCGGAAAAUCAAGGCUGAGGCGUGAUGACGAGGCACUACGGUGCUGAAGCAACAAAUGCCCUGCUUCCAGGAAAAGCCUCUAAGCAUCAGGUAACAUCAAAUCGUACCCCAAACCGACACAGGUGGUCAGGUAGAGAAUACCAAGGCGCUUGAGAGAACUCGGGUGAAGGAACUAGGCAAAAUGGUGCCGUAACUUCGGGAGAAGGCACGCUGAUAUGUAGGUGAAGCGACUUGCUCGUGGAGCUGAAAUCAGUCGAAGAUACCAGCUGGCUGCAACUGUUUAUUAAAAACACAGCACUGUGCAAACACGAAAGUGGACGUAUACGGUGUGACGCCUGCCCGGUGCCGGAAGGUUAAUUGAUGGGGUCAGCGCAAGCGAAGCUCUUGAUCGAAGCCCCGGUAAACGGCGGCCGUAACUAUAACGGUCCUAAGGUAGCGAAAUUCCUUGUCGGGUAAGUUCCGACCUGCACGAAUGGCGUAAUGAUGGCCAGGCUGUCUCCACCCGAGACUCAGUGAAAUUGAACUCGCUGUGAAGAUGCAGUGUACCCGCGGCAAGACGGAAAGACCCCGUGAACCUUUACUAUAGCUUGACACUGAACAUUGAGCCUUGAUGUGUAGGAUAGGUGGGAGGCUUAGAAGUGUGGACGCCAGUCUGCAUGGAGCCGACCUUGAAAUACCACCCUUUAAUGUUUGAUGUUCUAACGUUGACCCGUAAUCCGGGUUGCGGACAGUGUCUGGUGGGUAGUUUGACUGGGGCGGUCUCCUCCUAAAGAGUAACGGAGGAGCACGAAGGUUGGCUAAUCCUGGUCGGACAUCAGGAGGUUAGUGCAAUGGCAUAAGCCAGCUUGACUGCGAGCGUGACGGCGCGAGCAGGUGCGAAAGCAGGUCAUAGUGAUCCGGUGGUUCUGAAUGGAAGGGCCAUCGCUCAACGGAUAAAAGGUACUCCGGGGAUAACAGGCUGAUACCGCCCAAGAGUUCAUAUCGACGGCGGUGUUUGGCACCUCGAUGUCGGCUCAUCACAUCCUGGGGCUGAAGUAGGUCCCAAGGGUAUGGCUGUUCGCCAUUUAAAGUGGUACGCGAGCUGGGUUUAGAACGUCGUGAGACAGUUCGGUCCCUAUCUGCCGUGGGCGCUGGAGAACUGAGGGGGGCUGCUCCUAGUACGAGAGGACCGGAGUGGACGCAUCACUGGUGUUCGGGUUGUCAUGCCAAUGGCACUGCCCGGUAGCUAAAUGCGGAAGAGAUAAGUGCUGAAAGCAUCUAAGCACGAAACUUGCCCCGAGAUGAGUUCUCCCUGACUCCUUGAGAGUCCUGAAGGAACGUUGAAGACGACGACGUUGAUAGGCCGGGUGUGUAAGCGCAGCGAUGCGUUGAGCUAACCGGUACUAAUGAACCGUGAGGCUUAACCUU